UUUGCAGAGAUGCGAAUGUGCCUUCGGGAACUGUGAGACAGGUGCUGCAUGGCUGUCGUCAGCUCGUGUUGUGAAAUGUUGGGUUAAGUCCCGCAACGAGCGCAACCCUUAUCCUUUGUUGCCAGCGGUUAGGCCGGGAACUCAAAGGAGACUGCCAGUGAUAAACUGGAGGAAGGUGGGGAUGACGUCAAGUCAUCAUGGCCCUUACGACCAGGGCUACACACGUGCUACAAUGGCGCAUACAAAGAGAAGCGACCUCGCGAGAGCAAGCGGACCUCAUAAAGUGCGUCGUAGUCCGGAUUGGAGUCUGCAACUCGACUCCAUGAAGUCGGAAUCGCUAGUAAUCGUGGAUCAGAAUGCCACGGUGAAUACGUUCCCGGGCCUUGUACACACCGCCCGUCACACCAUGGGAGUGGGUUGCAAAAGAAGUAGGUAGCUUAACCUUCGGGAGGGCGCUUACCACUUUGUGAUUCAUGACUGGGGUGAAGUCGUAACAAGGUAACCGUAGGGGAACCUGCGGUUGGAUCACCUCCUUACCUGAAAGAA
rnacentral:rRNA from 2 species